rnacentral:snRNA from 1 species
AUCGCUUCUCGGCCUUUUGGCUAAGAUCAAGUGUAGUAUCUGUUCUUAUCAGUAUCUUGUCGGACGGUUGAGACUGCGAUCGCCUCUUGGAGGUUUCCUGACUCGAGAUCCCUU